rnacentral:rRNA from 1 species
UACGAAGGGGGCUAGCGUUGCUCGGAAUCACUGGGCGUAAAGGGUGCGUAGGCGGGUCUUUAAGUCAGGGGUGAAAUCCUGGAGCUCAACUCCAGAACUGCCUUUGAUACUGAAGAUCUUGAGUUCGGGAGAGGUGAGUGGAACUGCGAGUGUAGAGGUGAAAUUCGUAGAUAUUCGCAAGAACACCAGUGGCGAAGGCGGCUCACUGGACCGAUACUGACGCUGAGGCACGAAAGCGUGGGGAGCAAACAGG